rnacentral:tRNA from 1 species
GACCAUGCAGUCUAAUGGGUAAGAUGUCCAACUUCAGAUCACAACAUUGAGGGUUCAAGUCCCUUUGUGGCCA